rnacentral:rRNA from 1 species
GACGAACGCUGGCGGCGCGCCUAACACAUGCAAGUCGAACGAACGAGCGAGAUCUUGCUUUCGGGAUCGAGUGACUCACGUGUGGGUAGCGCGUGAGAAACGUGCCUGAUAUAGGGGGACAACGGUUGGAAACGAGGGCUAAUACCGCUUAAGCCCACUAGGCCGCAUGGCAGAGGGGUGAAAGGGGGAAUGAGCUUUGAGAGGGAGUGGCGGCGGAUUAGGUCGUUGGGGUGGUAGAGGCGGAACAAGGCGACGAAGGGUAGCGGGGAUGAGAGGUUGGACGGCCGCCUUGGGACUGAGCGAGGGCCCAGACUCGUAAGGGAGGCAGCAGUGGGGGAUACUGCACACUGGGGCAAAGCGUGAUGCAGCGACGCCGUGUGGAGGAAGACGCCCUUCGGAUUGGAAAAAGCUGUCGUUGGGGAAGAUAAUGACGGUAACUAAUAAGGAAGUGACGGCUAAAUAAGUG